rnacentral:rRNA from 1 species
UCGAACGAUGAUCCCCAGCUUGCUGGGGGGAUUAGUGGCGAACGGGUGAGUAACACGUGAGUAACCUGCCCUUGACUCUGGGAUAAGCCUGGGAAACUGGGUCUAAUACUGGAUACGACUCUUCACCGCAUGGUGGGGGGUGGAAAGCUUUUGUGGUUUUGGAUGGACUCGCGGCCUAUCAGCUUGUUGGUGGGGUAAUGGCCUACCAAGGCGACGACGGGUAGCCGGCCUGAGAGGGUGGACGGCCACACUGGGACUGAGACACGGCCCAGACUCCUACGGGAGGCAGCAGUGGGGAAUAUUGCACAAUGGGCGCAAGCCUGAUGCAGCGACGCCGCGUGAGGGAUGAAGGCCUUCGGGUUGUAAACCUCUUUCAGUAGGGAAGAAGCGAAAGUGACGGUACCUGCAGAAGAAGCGCCGGCUAACUACGUGCCAGCAGCCGCGGUAAUACGUAGGGCGCAAGCGUUAUCCGGAAUUAUUGGGCGUAAAGAGCUCGUAGGCGGUUUGUCGCGUCUGCCGUGAAAGUCCGGGGCUUAACCCCGGAUCUGCGGUGGGUACGGGCAGACUUGAGUGAUGUAGGGGAGACUGGAAUUCCUGGUGUAGCGGUGAAAUGCGCAGAUAUCAGGAGGAACACCGAUGGCGAAGGCAGGUCUCUGGGCAUUAACUGACGCUGAGGAGCGAAAGCAUGGGGAGCGAACAGGAUUAGAUA